UACGUAGGGCGCGAGCGUUGUCCGGAUUUAUUGGGCGUAAAGAGCUCGUAGGCGGCUCAUUGCGUCAACCGUGAAAACCAGCAGCUCAACUGUUGGCUUGCGGUUGAUACGGGUGGGCUGGAGUUCGGUAGGGGAGACUGGAAUUCCUGGUGUAGCGGUGAAAUGCGCAGAUAUCAGGAGGAACACCGGUGGCGAAGGCGGGUCUCUGGGCCGAUACUGACGUGAGGAGCGAAAGCGUGGGGAGCGAACAGG
rnacentral:rRNA from 1 species